rnacentral:lncRNA from 1 species
CGGGAGCAACACAGAGAGCAAAGUUUCACUCCAUUUUUCUUGGUUUUAUCUUCUCAAACCCAUGUUUUACUUUUGGUUUAAUUUGAUAAUAAUGUGUAACUAAAUUUAUUUUGGCUAGAGGUUAAUUCAAAGCCAUGAAUAUAUUUGUAAUAUGAAUUGAUUACCUUCAGUUGUGAUUUAUGAGUUGUGAUUUAAUUUGCUUAACUGCUUGAUUGAUAACUUAUUUUUGUAUGUCGAUUAAGAAUGCAUACUUAAUUUACAUGCAUGA